UACGGAGGGGGCGAGCGUUAUUCGGAAUUAUUGGGCGUAAAGGGCGCGUAGGCGGCGCGAUAAGUCAAAGGUGAAAUCCCUCGGCUCAACUGAGGAACUGCCUUUGAAACUGUCGUGCUUGAGGCCGGGAGGGGGUAGCGGAAUUCCCAGUGUAGCGGUGAAAUUCGUAGAUAUCGGGAGGAACACCAGUGGCGAAGGCGGCGAGCUGGGAAGAUACUGACGCUGAGGUGCGAAAGCGUGGGGAGCAAACAGG
rnacentral:rRNA from 1 species